GUGAAAAGGCUUCGGGCUCAACCGGAAGAAAGUGCCUUCGGAAACCUGGGAAACCUUGAGUUCCAGAAGGAGAACAGUGGAACUUCCAUGUGUAGCGGUGAAAUGGCGUAGAUAUUAUGGAAGAACCCCCAGUGGCGAAGGGCGGCUGUCUGGUUCUGUAACUGACGCUGAGGCUCGAAAGUAUGGGUAGCGCACACAGGAUUAGAUACCCUGGUAGUCCAUACCGUAAACGAUGAAUGCUAAGUGUUGGAGGGUUUCCGCCCUUCAGUGCUGCAGCUAACGCAUUAAGCAUUCCGCCUGGGGAGUACGGCCGCAAGGCUGAAACUCAAAGGAAUUGACGGGGGCCCGCACAAGCGGUGGAGCAUGUGGUUUAAUUCGAAGCUACGCGAAGAACCUUACCAGGUCUUGACAUACUAUGCAAAUCUAAGAGAUUAGACGUUCCCUUCGGGGACAUGGAUACAGGUGGUGCAUGGUUGUCGUCAGCUCGUGUCGUGAGAUGUUGGGUUAAGUCCCGCAACGAGCGCAACCCUUAUUAUCAGUUGCCAGCAUUAAGUUGGGCACUCUGGUGAGACUGCCGGUGACAAACCGGAGGAAGGUGGGGAUGACGUCAAAUCAUCAUGCCCCUUAUGACCUGGGCUACACACGUGCUACAAUGGAUGGUACAACGAGUUGCGAACUCGCGAGAGUAAGCUAAUCUCUUAAAGCCAUUCUCAGUUCGGAUUGUAGGCUGCAACUCGCCUACAUGAAGUCGGAAUCGCUAGUAAUCGCGGAUCAGCAUGCCGCGGUGAAUACGUUCCCGGGCCUUGUACACACCGCCCGUCACACCAUGAGAGUUUGUAACACCCAAAGUCGGUGGGGUAACCUUUUAGGAACCAGCCGCCUAAGGUGACAGAGAUGGCG
rnacentral:rRNA from 1 species